rnacentral:rRNA from 1 species
GACGAACGCUGGCGGCGUGCUUAACACAUGCAAGUCGAACGCUGAAGACCUGGCUUUUGUUGGGUUGGAUGAGUGGCGAACGGGUGAGUAACACGUGGGUAACCUGCCCUCUUCUUUGGGAUAACGCCCGGAAACGGGUGCUAAUACUGGAUAUUCACUGGCCUUCGCAUGGGGGUUGGUGGAAAGGUUUGUUCUGGUGGGGGAUGGGCUCGCGGCCUAUCAGCUUGUUGGUGGGGUGAUGGCCUACCAAGGCUUUGACGGGUAGCCGGCCUGAGAGGGUGACCGGUCACAUUGGGACUGAGAUACGGCCCAGACUCCUACGGGAGGCAGCAGUGGGGAAUAUUGCACAAUGGGCGAAAGCCUGAUGCAGCGACGCCGCGUGAGGGAUGGAGGCCUUCGGGUUGUAAACCUCUUUCGCUCAUGGUCAAGCCGCAACUGUGGGUUGUGGUGAGGGUAGUGGGUAAAGAAGCGCCGGCUAACUACGUG